UACGUGGGGGGCAAGCGUUGUCCGGAAUCAUUGGGCGUAAAGAGCGUGUAGGCGGCUUGGUAAGUCCGCUGUGAAAGUCCAGGGCUCAACCCUGGAAAGCCGGUGGAAACUGUCAAGCUUGAGUCCGGAAGAGGCGAGUGGAAUUCCUGGUGUAGCGGUGAAAUGCGCAGAUAUCAGGAGGAACACCAAUGGCGAAGGCAGCUCGCUGGGACGGUACUGACGCUGAGACGCGAAAGCGUGGGGAGCAAACAGG
rnacentral:rRNA from 1 species